rnacentral:lncRNA from 1 species
UUAUUUCUUUAUAUAUCCUUUUCUCGACUUGUGAUACAAUGACGCACCCCUUGGCCUGUCUAUACAUACACAAUCGGUAAGGAGCAAACAUGACUCCGUUUACAUUAACUCAAACUCUUACACAAACAACUAGUCAACUAAUCCUCAACCUAAUCUAUCCUUACUAAUAAAGCAACUAUUGUUUCUGUGGUACGUCAUUAAAAUUGCC